rnacentral:rRNA from 1 species
AAAAAAGGUAAGCUACUAAGAGCGAAUGGUGGAUGCCUUGACUGGUAAAGGCGAUGAAGGACGUACUAGACUGCGAUAAGCUACGGGGAGCUGUCAAGAAGCUUUGAUCCGUAGAUUUCCGAAUGGGGCAACCCAAUGUAUAGAGAUAUACAUUACCUAUAUAGGAGCGAACGAGGGGAAUUGAAACAUCUUAGUACCCUCAGGAAAAGAAAUCAAUAGAGAUUGCGUCAGUAGCGGCGAGCGAAAGCGCAAGAGGGCAAACCCAGUGCUUGCACUGGGGGUUGUAGGACUGCAAUGUGCAAGAGGUAAGUUUAGCAGAACAUUCUGGAAAGUAUAACCAUAGAGGGUGAUAGUCCCGUAUGCGAAAAACAAACCUUAGCUAGCAGUAUCCUGAGUAGGGCGGGACACGAGGAAUCCUGUCUGAAUCCGGGUCGACCACGAUCCAACCCUAAAUACUAAUACCAGAUCGAUAGUGCACAAGUACCGUGAGGGAAAGGUGAAAAGAACUGAGGUGAUCAGAGUGAAAUAGAACCUGAAACCAUUUGCUUACAAUCAUUCAGAGCCCUAUGUAGCAAUACAGGGUGAUGGACUGCCUUUUGCAUAAUGAGCCUGCGAGUUGUGGUGUCUGGCAAGGUUAAGCAAACGCGAAGCCGUAGCGAAAGCGAGUCUGAAUAGGGCGCUUAGUCAGAUGCUGCAGACCCGAAACGAAGUGAUCUAUCCAUGAGCAAGUUGAAGCUAGUGUAAGAACUAGUGGAGGACUGAACCCAUAGGCGUUGAAAAGCCCCGGGAUGACUUGUGGAUAGGGGUGAAAGGCCAAUCAAACUUCGUGAUAGCUGGUUCUCUCCGAAAUAUAUUUAGGUAUAGCGUUGUGUCGUAAUAUAAGGGGGUAGAGCACUGAAUGGGCUAGGGCAUACACCAAUGUACCAAACCCUAUCAAACUCCGAAUACCUUAUAUGUAAUCACAGCAGUCAGGCGGCGAGUGAUAAAAUCCGUCGUCAAGAGGGAAACAACCCAGACUACCAGCUAAGGUCCCUAAAUCUUACUUAAGUGGAAAACGAUGUGAAGUUACUUAAACAACCAGGAGGUUGGCUUAGAAGCAGCCAUCCUUUAAAGAAAGCGUAAUAGCUCACUGGUCUAGUGAUUUUGCGCGGAAAAUAUAACGGGGCUAAAGUAAGUACCGAAGCUGUAGACUUGCACACAACUUAGAUUAUUUAAGUUUAGAAUAUGAGAAACUAAGUUAUGUUUAGUUAUAUUUUUACUGAUUUUUAUAGAGUAAAGAUAGAAAUAAAACUUAGUAAAAUCAGUAAAAAUAUUCUUAGGCUAAAGUUAAGUAGUUUAAGUUGUGUGCAAGUGGUAGGAGAGCGUUCUAUUUGCGUCGAAGGUAUACCGGUAAGGAGUGCUGGAGCGAAUAGAAGUGAGCAUGCAGGCAUGAGUAGCGAUAAUUAAUGUGAGAAUCAUUAACGCCGUAAACCCAAGGUUUCCUACGCGAUGCUCGUCAUCGUAGGGUUAGUCGGGUCCUAAGUCGAGUCCGAAAGGGGUAGACGAUGGCAAAUUGGUUAAUAUUCCAAUACCAACAUUAGUGUGCGAUGGAAGGACGCUUAGGGCUAAGGGGGCUAGCGGAUGGAAGUGCUAGUCUAAGGUCGUAGGAGGUUAUACAGGCAAAUCCGUAUAACAAUACUCCGAGAACUGAAAGGCUUUUUGAAGUCUUCGGAUGGAUAGAAGAACCCCUGAUGCCGUCGAGCCAAGAAAAGUUUCUAAGUUUAGCUAAUGUUGCCCGUACCGUAAACCGACACAGGUGGGUGGGAUGAGUAUUCUAAGGCGCGUGGAAGAACUCUCUUUAAGGAACUCUGCAAAAUAGCACCGUAUCUUCGGUAUAAGGUGUGGUUAGCUUUGUAUUAGGAUUUACUCCGAAAGCAAGGAAACUUACAACAAAGAGUCCCUCCCGACUGUUUACCAAAAACACAGCACUCUGCUAACUCGUAAGAGGAUGUAUAGGGUGUGACGCCUGCCCGGUGCUCGAAGGUUAAUUGAUGGGGUUAGCAUUAGCGAAGCUCUUGAUCGAAGCCCGAGUAAACGGCGGCCGUAACUAUAACGGUCCUAAGGUAGCGAAAUUCCUUGUCGGUUAAAUACCGACCUGCAUGAAUGGCGUAACGAGAUGGGAGCUGUCUCAAAGAGGGAUCCAGUGAAAUUGUAGUGGAGGUGAAAAUUCCUCCUACCCGCGGCAAGACGGAAAGACCCCGUGGACCUUUACUACAGCUUGACACUGCUACUUGGAUAAGAAUGUGCAGGAUAGGUGGGAGGCUUUGAGUAUAUGACGCCAGUUGUAUAUGAGCCAUUGUUGAGAUACCACUCUUUCUUAUUUGGGUAGCUAACCAGCUUGAGUUAUCCUCAAGUGGGACAAUGUCUGGUGGGUAGUUUGACUGGGGCGGUCGCCUCCCAAAUAAUAACGGAGGCUUACAAAGGUUGGCUCAGAACGGUUGGAAAUCGUUCGUAGAGUAUAAAGGUAUAAGCCAGCUUAACUGCAAGACAUACAAGUCAAGCAGAGACGAAAGUCGGUCUUAGUGAUCCGGUGGUUCUGUGUGGAAGGGCCAUCGCUCAAAGGAUAAAAGGUACCCCGGGGAUAACAGGCUGAUCUCCCCCAAGAGCUCACAUCGACGGGGAGGUUUGGCACCUCGAUGUCGGCUCAUCGCAUCCUGGGGCUGGAGCAGGUCCCAAGGGUAUGGCUGUUCGCCAUUUAAAGCGGUACGCGAGCUGGGUUCAGAACGUCGUGAGACAGUUCGGUCCCUAUCUGCCGUGGGCGUAAGAAGAUUGAAGAGAUUUGACCCUAGUACGAGAGGACCGGGUUGAACAAACCACUGGUGUAGCUGUUGUUCUGCCAAGAGCAUCGCAGCGUAGCUAAGUUUGGAAAGGAUAAACGCUGAAAGCAUCUAAGCGUGAAGCCAACUCUAAGAUGAAUCUUCUCUAAGCUCUCUAGAAGACUACUAGUUUGAUAGGCUGGGUGUGUAAUGGAUGAAAGUCCUUUAGCUGACCAGUACUAAUAGAGCGUUUGGCUUAUCUUUAAUAAAGCAU